UUGAACGCUGGCGGCAUGCCUUACACAUGCAAGUCGAACGGCAGCACGGGUGCUUGCACCUGGUGGCGAGUGGCGAACGGGUGAGUAAUACAUCGGAACAUGUCCUGUAGUGGGGGAUAGCCCGGCGAAAGCCGGAUUAAUACCGCAUACGAUCUACGGAUGAAAGCGGGGGACCUUCGGGCCUCGCGCUAUAGGGUUGGCCGAUGGCUGAUUAGCUAGUUGGUGGGGUAAAGGCCUACCAAGGCGACGAUCAGUAGCUGGUCUGAGAGGACGACCAGCCACACUGGGACUGAGACACGGCCCAGACUCCUACGGGAGGCAGCAGUGGGGAAUUUUGGACAAUGGGCGAAAGCCUGAUCCAGCAAUGCCGCGUGUGUGAAGGAGGCCUUCGGGUUGUAAAGCACUUUUGUCCGGAAAGAAAUCCUUGGCCCUAAUACGGUCGGGGGAUGACAGUACCGGAAGAAUAAGCACCGGCUAACUACGUG
rnacentral:rRNA from 1 species